GAACGCUGGCGGCGUGCUUAACACAUGCAAGUCGAACGAACCUUCGGGUUAGUGGCGGACGGGUGAGUAACGCGUGGGAAUCUGCCCUCAGGAGGGGGAUAACGGCCGGAAACGGCCGCUAAUACCCCAUAUGCCGAGAGGUGAAAUGAAUUUCGCCUGAGGAUGAGCCCGCGUCUGAUUAGCUAGUUGGUGAGGUAAGAGCUCACCAAGGCAUCGAUCAGUAGCUGGUCUGAGAGGAUGAUCAGCCACACUGGGACUGAGACACGGCCCAGACUCCUACGGGAGGCAGCAGUGGGGAAUUUUCCGCAAUGGGCGAAAGCCUGACGGAGCAACGCCGCGUGAGGGAUGAAGGCCUCUGGGCUGUAAACCUCUUUUAUCAAGGAAGAAGAUCUGACGGUACUUGAUGAAUAAGCCACGGCUAAUUCCG
rnacentral:rRNA from 1 species